rnacentral:rRNA from 1 species
UGUAUAAUGGGUCAGCGACUUAUAUUCUGUAGCAAGGUUAACCGAAUAGGGGAGCCGAAGGGAAACCGAGUCUUAACUGGGCGUUAAGUUGCAGGGUAUAGACCCGAAACCCGGUGAUCUAGCCAUGGGCAGGUUGAAGGUUGGGUAACACUAACUGGAGGACCGAACCGACUAAUGUUGAAAAAUUAGCGGAUGACUUGUGGCUGGGGGUGAAAGGCCAAUCAAACCGGGAGAUAGCUGGUUCUCCCCGAAAGCUAUUUAGGUAGCGCCUCGUGAAUUCAUCUCCGGGGGUAGAGCACUGUUUCGGCAAGGGGGUCAUCCCGACUUACCAACCCGAUGCAAACUGCGAAUACCGGAGAAUGUUAUCACGGGAGACACACGGCGGGUGCUAACGUCCGUCGUGAAGAGGGAAACAACCCAGACCGCCAGCUAAGGUCCCAAAGUCAUGGUUAAGUGGGAAACGAUGUGGGAAGGCCCAGACAGCCAGGAUGUUGGCUUAGAAGCAGCCAUCAUUUAAAGAAAGCGUAAUAGCUCACUGGUCGAGUCGGCCUGCGCGGAAGAUGUAACGGGGCUAAACCAUGCACCGAAGCUGCGGCAGCGACGCUUAUGCGUUGUUGGGUAGGGGAGCGUUCUGUAAGCCUGCGAAGGUGUGCUGUGAGGCAUGCUGGAGGUAUCAGAAGUGCGAAUGCUGACAUAAGUAACGAUAAAGCGGGUGAAAAGCCCGCUCGCCGGAAGACCAAGGGUUCCU